CGAAUCCCCUGAUCUCAAUCGUCCGUUCGGGGAUCUAGCAGGAGGUCGAGUUGGAGGCGCGAGCCAACGGCUCAAGUGACCUUGAACGAAGAUGCAAAGCAGCGGGCCGUAAUAACCAUGAACUCGAAUCAGCCUCGUCAUACGUCAUUGUGUGAGCCGACCGUAUCGUCUGCGCGGGAAGGCUGGCAACAGGUGGGGAACAACGGACACUCGAACCAUCUGUUCACACCGGGGUGUUGGAGAU
rnacentral:ncRNA from 1 species